rnacentral:rRNA from 1 species
UACGUAGGGGGCAAGCGUUGUCCGGAAUCAUUGGGCGUAAAGCGCGUGUAGGCGGCCAGGUAAGUCCGUUCUGAAAGCCCGGGGCUCAACCCCGGGAGGCGGAUGGAUACUGCUUGGCUCGAGUCCGGAAGAGGCGAGUGGAAUUCCCGGUGUAGCGGUGAAAUGCGCAGAUAUCGGGAGGAACACCAAUGGCGAAGGCAGCUCGCUGGGACGGUACUGACGCUGAGACGCGAAAGCCAGGGGAGCAAACGGG